CAACUGAAGAGUUUGAUCAUGGCUCAGAUUGAACGCUGGCGGCAGGCUUAACACAUGCAAGUCGAGCGGAAACGAUCCUAGCUUGCUAGGAGGCGUCGAGCGGCGGACGGGUGAGUAAUGCAUGGGAAUCUGCCCGAUAGUGGGGGACAACCUGGGGAAACUCAGGCUAAUACCGCAUACGUCCUACGGGAGAAAGCAGGGGAUCUUCGGACCUUGCGCUAUCGGAUGAGCCCAUGUCGGAUUAGCUUGUUGGUGAGGUAAUGGCUCACCAAGGCGAUGAUCCGUAGCUGGUCUGAGAGGAUGAUCAGCCACACUGGGACUGAGACACGGCCCAGACUCCUACGGGAGGCAGCAGUGGGGAAUAUUGGACAAUGGGCGAAAGC
rnacentral:rRNA from 1 species